rnacentral:rRNA from 1 species
CAUGUCCUUUUGAUAAUGAUUUAAGGUCUAAUCUGCCCACUGAAAAUUAAAUGGCCGCAGUAAUUUGACUGUGCUAAGGUAGCAUAAUAAUUAGUUUUUUAAUUGAAAGCUGGUAUGAAUGAUUGGAUGAGAUAAUAGCUGUUUCAAUUUAAAUUAUAAAAUUUUAUAUUUAAGUUAAAAAGCUUAAAUUUAAUUAAAAGACGAGAAGACCCUAUAGAGUUUAAUAAUUUAUUUUAAAUUUUAUUUAUUUUUUUAAAAAAUUAUUUUAAUUUAGAUUAUUUGGUUGGGGUGACAAAAAAAUUUAAUAAACUUUUUAAUAUCUAAACAUUAAUAAGUGAUUAGUUGAUCCAUUUAUUAUGAUUAUAAGAUUAAAUUACCUUAGGGAUAACAGCGUUAUUACUUUAGAGAGUUCUUAUCGAAAAAGUAGAUUGCGACCUCGAUGUUGGAUUAAAGUUAAAUUUUGGUGUAGAAGCUAAAAUUUUAAGUCUGUUCGACUUUUAAAACUUUACAUGAUCUGAGU